rnacentral:rRNA from 1 species
GACGAACGCUGGCGGCGUGCUUAACACAUGCAAGUCGAACGGUUAAGCCCUUCGGGGUGGAUCAGUGGCGAACGGGUGAGUAACACGUGAGCAACCUGCCCCUGGCUCUGGGACAACCACUGGAAACGGUGGCUAAUACCGGAUACGACCCGCCUCGGCAUCGAGUGUGGGUGGAAAGUUUUUCGGCUGGGGAUGGGCUCGCGGCCUAUCAGCUUGUUGGUGAGGUGAAGGCUCACCAAGGCGACGACGGGUAGCCGGCCUGAGAGGGCGACCGGCCACACUGGGACUGAGACACGGCCCAGACUCCUACGGGAGGCAGCAGUGGGGAAUAUUGCACAAUGGGCGAAAGCCUGAUGCAGCGACGCCGCGUGAGGGAUGACGGCCUUCGGGUUGUAAACCUCUUUCAGCUCCGAAGAAGCGAAAGUGACGGUAGGAGCAGAAGAAGCACCGGCUAACUACGUG